rnacentral:sRNA from 1 species
AGAUAGCCCAGAUGGAAAUGGAAAUCCUUAUGGAUUAAAAUGAAUUUUUUCUAAACAAAAAAAGAGCGACCGGCGGAAGCUCUUUUUUUUGUUAUUGAAAAAACCAUUAUAAUCUAGAAGAUUGAAAUGGACAGCUGGAAAUAGC